GAUGAACGCUGGCGGCGUGCCUAAUACAUGCAAGUCGAGCGAACGGACGAGAAGCUUGCUUCUCUGAUGUUAGCGGCGGACGGGUGAGUAACACGUGGAUAACCUACCUAUAAGACUGGGAUAACUUCGGGAAACCGGAGCUAAUACCGGAUAAUAUUUUGAACCGCAUGGUUCAAAAGUGAAAGACGGUCUUGCUGUCACUUAUAGAUGGAUCCGCGCUGCAUUAGCUAGUUGGUAAGGUAACGGCUCACCAAGGCAACGAUGCAUAGCCGACCUGAGAGGGUGUUCGGCCACACGGGAACUGAGACACGGUCCAGACUCCUACGGGAGGCAGCAGUAGGGAAUCUUCCGCAAUGGGCGAAAGCCUGACGGAGCAACGCCGCGUGAGUGAUGAAGGUCUUCGGAUCGUAAAACUCUGUUAUUAGGGAAGAACAUAUGUGUAAGUAACUGUGCACAUCUUGACGGUACCUAAUCAGAAAGCCACGGCUAACUACGUG
rnacentral:rRNA from 1 species